rnacentral:misc_RNA from 1 species
GAUGAAGAACGCAGCGAAAUGCGAUACUUGGUGUGAAUUGCAGAAUCCCGUGAACCAUCGAGUCUUUGAACGCAAGUUGCGCCCGAAGCCAUUAGGCCGAGGGCACGCCUGCCUGGGCGUCACACGUCGUUGCCCCCCCAUCUACUCCUUCGGGAUUGCGGGGGGCGGAUGAUGGCCUCCCGUGCGCCUCGUCGCGCGGUUGGCAUAAAUGCCAAGUCCUCGGCGACACACGCCACGACAAUCGGUGGUUGCGAAACCUCGGUUGCCCGUCGUGUGCGGUCGUCGCGCAUCGAGGGCUCGAAAAAAUUGCCGGGCUCCGGCUCGGCUUUCAACGCGACCCCAGGUCAGGCGGGGUUACCCGCUGAAUUUAAGCAUAUCAAUAGCGGAGGA